UAAUUUAUUUUAGAUUUAUAAUAAUUUUUAUUAAUAAUUAAAUAAUAAAAAUUAAUAAAUUUGGCAGUAUUUUUUAAAAUUAGAGGAUUAUGUUAUGUAAUAGAUAAUACACUAUAAAAUAUAUUUAAUUUAAUAUUUAUUGUAUAUCGUUGUUUUAAAUUAAUUUUUGAAAAUAUUAAUAAAAAUUUUAAAAAAAAAUAAAUCAAAUCAACAUACAUAUUAUAAUUAAAAUUUAAAUGUAAUACAUUUAUUUGAAUUUAAUGGAUUAAAUUUUUUAAAAAAUUUAAUAAAAUUGGAUUUAAAAGUAAUUAUUUAAAAUAUAUUAUUUUUGAAUUAUAUUAAAAAUAUGU
rnacentral:rRNA from 1 species